AUAAAAAUUGUAAUCUUUAAAAGAGAAGGUCUGAGCGCACACAACCUCGCCUGUCCCGCCGGAAACAACGUCCAGCUGAUCGACAGAUCCUGGAUGCUGGGACAAGACUACAGCAUGGUGGAGACGGCCCUGAGCUGCCGAGAGGGAGAGAGCGUACAGGGAUCUCAUGUGACGCGCUGGCCUGGUUUCUACAUCCUGCAGUGGCGUCUUUACAGCAGUCCAUCAUGCACUUCUUCCAGUCGUCUGCGUGUAGAUGAUGUUCUGGCCUCUCUGCAGGUCUCCUCACACAAAUGCAGAGUCAUGUAUUUCACAGAGGUGCUGCUCUCCACUGACUUCAGGUCAGUAUCAUUACACCGCAAAGUGCUUAGCAUUAAAACACCAUUAACUAAAAAAUCACACCUUCUCAAAAUAUGAAAUGGACGUCCGUUUGUGUUUGUAUCGUGGGCUCCAUGAGCAGCCUGGAGUCGAGUCACAGCGCUUUCUCUCUGCUCAGUGCCUCCACCAGCUCCUCCAACCAAUCACAGACAGAGUCAAGCGUCUCAAGAUAGCAGGAAAACAAGACGCUUCUGUGACUGUAGCUCUGCAGGAAAUGAUGAAGGAUCAUGUGACGCAGUGAAACAUCAAAACACAACAAAUGUCUGCAUGAGUGCUGAUCAUUAUCAUCAAAAACUGCAGGCUUGAUGGAAAUUAUG